rnacentral:rRNA from 1 species
UGGUGGGGUAAUGGCCUACCAAGACGAUGAUGUGUAGCUGGACUGAGAGGUCGAACAGCCACAUUGGGACUGAGACACGGCCCAAACUCCUACGGGAGGCAGCAGUAGGGAAUUUUCGGCAAUGGAGGAAACUCUGACCGAGCAACGCCGCGUGAACGAUGAAGUAUUUCGGUAUGUAAAGUUCUUUUAUUGAAGAAGAAAAAAUAGUGGAAAAACUAUCUUGACGUUAUUCAAUGAAUAAGCCCCGGCUAACUAUGUGCCAGCAGCCGCGGUAAGACAUAGGGGGCGAGCGUUAUCCGGAAUUAUUGGGCGUAAAGGGUGCGUAGGCGGUUAGGAAAGUCUAUAAUUUAAUUUCAGUGCUUAACGCUGUCUUGUUAUAGAAACUACCUUGACUAGAGUUAGAUAGAGGCAAGCGGAAUUCCAUGUGUAGCGGUAAAAUGUGUAAAUAUAUGGAGGAACACCAGAAGCGUAGGCGGCUUGCUGGGUCUUGACUGACGCUGAGGCACGAAAGCGUGGGUAGCAAACAGGAUUAGAUACCCUGGUAGUCCACGCCGUAAACGAUGAGUACUAAGUGUCGGGAUAAAACUCGGUACUGAAGUUAACACAUUAAGUACUCCGCCUGAGUAGUACGUACGCAAGUAUGAAACUUAAAGGAAUUGACGGGACUCCGCACAAGCGGUGGAUCAUGUUGUUUAAUUCGAAGAUACACGAAAAAUCUUACCAGGUCUUGACAUGCUCUGCAAAGCUAUAGAAAUAUAGUGGAGGUUAUCAGGGACACAGGUGGUGCAUGGUUGUCGUCAGUUCGUGUCGUGAGAUGUUAGGUUAAGUCCUAAAACGAGCGCAACCCUUGUCGUUAGUUACCAGCACGUAAUGGUGGGCACUUUAACGAGAGUGGCAAUUAAACAUUGGAGGAAGGUGAGGAUUUCGUCAAAUCAUCAUGCCCCUUAUGAUCUGGGGUGCAAACGUGAUACAAUGGUUGUUACAAAGAAUAGGUGAAGCUUAGAGUUUUUAGCCAAUCUCAAAAAAGCAGUU